rnacentral:piRNA from 1 species
UCCACUUUGAUUUGGUUUCGUAGCUA